rnacentral:misc_RNA from 1 species
GGCACAAAGUAACUCACAAUGGCAUUAUUUUGAAGAUCGGAGUUGAACACAGUUAAACAUACAUAAAAUUUACAUUGAGCUUAAGUUUUGGCCGUAUAAGAAUUUUGCAAAAUUGAUCAUUAAUCUCAAAAUUCAUUUAGGACGUCUAACAAACACUUUAUCUACACCCAUGUAACAUCUCUAAAGUCUGCACAAUAAACUUGCAUUGAGAUGGUAAUUAGAUGCA